AGAGUUUGAUCCUGGCUCAGGACGAACGCUGGCGGCGUGCUUAACACAUGCAAGUCGAACGGAAAGGCCCGCAUUACUUUUGUGGUGGGGGUGCUCGAGUGGCGAACGGGUGAGUAACACGUGGGUGAUCUGCCCUGCACUUCGGGAUAAGCUUGGGAAACUGGGUCUAAUACCGGAUAGGACCAUGGUUUAGCAUCUCAUGGUGGAAAAAUAUUGUUUUGGUGUAGGAUGAGCCCGCGGCCUAUCAGCUUGUUGGUGGGGUAAUGGCCUACCAAGGCGUCGACGGGUAGCCGGCCUGAGAGGGUGGACGGCCACAUUGGGACUGAGAUACGGCCCAGACUCCUACGGGAGGCAGCAGUGGGGAAUAUUGCACAAUGGGCGCAAGCCUGAUGCAGCGACGCCGCGUGGGGGAUGACGGCCUUCGGGUUGUAAACUCCUUUCGUUAGGGACGAAGCCGCACUUUUUUUGGGUGUGGUGACGGUACCUUUGUUAAGAAGCACCGGCUAACUACGUGCCAGCAGCCGCGGUAAUACGUAGGGUGCGAGCGUUGUCCGGAAUUACUGGGCGUAAAGAGCUCGUAGGUGGUUUGUUGCGUCGUCUGUGAAAUUCCGGGGCUUAACUUCGGGGUGGCAGGCGAUACGGGCAUAACUAGAGUGCUGUAGGGGAGACUGGAAUUCCUGGUGUAGCGGUGGAAUGCGCAGAUAUCAGGAGGAACACCGAUGGCGAAGGCAGGUCUCUGGGCAGUAACUGACGCUGAGGAGCGAAAGCAUGGGGAGCGAACAGGAUUAGAUACCCUGGUAGUCCAUGCUGUAAACGGUGGGCGUUAGGUGUGGGGACUGUUUUUGGUUUCUGUGCCGUAGCUAACGCAUUAAGCGCCCCGCCUGGGGAGUACGGCCGCAAGGCUAAAACUCAAAGGAAUUGACGGGGGCCCGCACAAGCGGCGGAGCAUGUGGAUUAAUUCGAUGCAACGCGAAGAACCUUACCUGGGUUUGACAUGCACCAGACGGUUGUAGAGAUACGUACCUCCCUUUGUGGUUGGUGUGCAGGUGGUGCAUGGUUGUCGUCAGCUCGUGUCGUGAGAUGUUGGGUUAAGUCCCGCAACGAGCGCAACC
rnacentral:rRNA from 1 species